rnacentral:rRNA from 1 species
UACGGGGGGGGCAAGCGUUGUUCGGAAUUACUGGGCGUAAAGGGUUCGUAGGUGGCCAACUAAGUCAGACGUGAAAUCCCUCAGCUUAACUGGGGAACUGCGUCUGAUACUGGUUGGCUUGAGUGCAGGAGAGGAACGCGGAAUUCCAGGUGUAGCGGUGAAAUGCGUAGAUAUCUGGAGGAACACCGGUGGCGAAGGCGGCGUUCUGGACUGCAACUGACACUGAGGAACGAAAGCCAGGGGAGCAAACGGGAUUAGAAACCCCCGUAGUCC